rnacentral:rRNA from 1 species
UACGUAGGGUCCGAGCGUUACUCGGAAUUACUGGGCGUAAAGGGCGCGUAGGCGGCCCACUAAGUCAGACGUGAAAUCCCCCGGCUUAACCUGGGAACUGCGUCUGAUACUGGAGGGCUUGAGUAUGGGAGAGGGAUGUAGAAUUCCAGGUGUAGCGGUGAAAUGCGUAGAUAUCGAGAGGAACACCAGUGGCGAAGGCGAGUCCCUGGACAGAUCCUGACGCUGAGGCACGAAAGCUAGGGGAGCAAACAGG